rnacentral:rRNA from 1 species
AACGAACGCUGGCGGCAUGCCUAACACAUGCAAGUCGAACGAGACCUUCGGGUCUAGUGGCGCACGGGUGCGUAACGCGUGGGAACCUGCCUUUAGGUUCGGAAUAACUCAGAGAAAUUUGAGCUAAUACCGGAUAAUGUCUUCGGACCAAAGAUUUAUCGCCUUUAGAUGGGCCCGCGUAAGAUUAGCUAGUUGGUGGGGUAAAAGCCUACCAAGGCGACGAUCUUUAGCUGGUCUGAGAGGAUGAUCAGCCACACUGGGACUGAGACACGGCCCAGACUCCUACGGGAGGCAGCAGUGGGGAAUAUUGGACAAUGGGCGAAAGCCUGAUCCAGCAAUGCCGCGUGAGUGAUGAAGGCCUUAGGGUUGUAAAGCUCUUUUACCCGGGAUGAUAAUGACAGUACCGGGAGAAUAAGCUCCGACUAACUCCGUGCCAGCAGCCGCGGUAAU